GAUGAACGCUGUCGGCGUGCCUAAUACAUGCAAGUCGAGCGAAGCGGGGACGGGUGAGUAACACGUUGAUAACCUCCUAUAAGACUGGGAUAACUUCGGGAAACCGGAGCUAAACCGGAUAUUUAUAGAUUGAUCCGCACUGAAUUAGCUAGUUGGUAAGGUAACGGCUUACCAAGGCAACGAUGCAUAGCCGACCUGUGAGGGUGAUCGAGCACACGAGAACUGAGACAGGAAGAAGACACAUACGGGAGGCAGCAGUAGGAAGUCUAACGCAAUGGGCGAAAGCAUGACCGAGAAAAUCAGCGUGAGUGAUGAAGGUCUUAGAAUCGUAAAACACUGUUAUUAGGGAAGCGGUACCAAAUCAGAAAGCCACGUCUAACUACGUGCCAGCAGACGCGGUAAUAC
rnacentral:rRNA from 1 species